rnacentral:rRNA from 1 species
AUGCUUUGCGGUGACUUCAACCUCAUCCUCUGCUCCGAGGACAAGAAUACGAGCAACCUCAAUAGACGCAUGAUGGGCAAAUUUCGCCGCCUAGUCAACGAUCUCGCACUCAAGGAGGUAUACCUCAACGUGCGAAGAUACACGUGGUCAAACGAGCAAUCACCACCGACCCUGGUGCACCUCGAUCGUGUGUUGUGCACCUCGGACUGGGAGGACGGGCACAACAAAUGCCACCUGAGGUGCCUCGCGUCUGUUGUGCCAGAUCAUUGCCCCUUGCUGCUGGAUUGCGCCCGUGAUGCACCGUGU